UACAGAGGUCCCAAGCGUUGUUCGGAUUCACUGGGCGUAAAGGGUGCGCAGGUGGUCGGGUAAGUCUGGUGUGAAAUCCCGCAGCUCAACUGCGGAAUGGCAUUGGAUACUAUUUGGCUAGAGGGUUGGAGGGGGGACUGGAAUUCUCGGUGUAGCAGUGAAAUGCGUAGAUAUCGAGAGGAACACCAGUGGCGAAGGCGAGUCCCUGGACAACUCCUGACGCUGAGGCACGAAAGCUAGGGGAGCAAACAGG
rnacentral:rRNA from 1 species